GACCUAGUGGUGGAAGGUACCACCUCCGCGAGCUUUAGUGCGGGUGGUUAAAUCAUAUGCGCGGAAGGCCCUGGUUCGAAUCCAGGCUAGGUCA